rnacentral:rRNA from 1 species
UAGGGAAUAUUGGUCAAUGGAUGGAAGUCUGAACCAGCCAUGCCGCGUGCAGGAAGAAGGCCUUCUGGGUUGUAAACUGCUUUUGCCAGGGGCUAAAAAGCUCAUGCGUGGGAAAUUGAAAGUACCUGGUGAAUAAGCCACGGCUAACUACGUGCCAGCAGCCGCGGUAAUACGUAGGUGGCAAGCGUUGUCCGGAUUUAUUGGGUUUAAAGGGUGCGUAGGCGGCUUUGUAAGUCAGUGGUGAAAUAUGGCAGCUUAACUGUCAGGGUGCCAUUGAUACUGCAGAGCUUGAGUACAGAUGAGGUAGGCGGAAUUGACGGUGUAGCGGUGAAAUGCUUAGAUAUCGUCAAGAACACCUAUAGCGAAGGCAGCUUACUAGGCUGUAACUGACGCUGAGGCACGAAAGUGUGGGGAUCAAACAGGAUUAGAUACCCUGGUAGUCCACACUGUAAACGUUGAAGACUCGCUGUGUGCGAUAUACAGUACGCGGCCAAGCGAAAGCGAUAAGUCUUCCACCUGGGGAGUACGCCGGCAACGGUGAAACUCAAACGAAUUGACGG